GCCCCUUCCACCUGUAAACUCUUCAAAGAUGAAAGUUACAGUGUUCUCUGUCCUGAGGCUGUUAUAAUACAGCCUGAUAGAGCAAAUUUUCACAAGAAGUUUGGACCAAAUUAUCACCCAACGUUUGAGAUCCGUCUGCCUGCA